rnacentral:SRP_RNA from 1 species
GCCAGGCAUGGUGGCGGAUGCCUGUAAUCCCAGCUACUUAGGAGGCUGAAGCAGGAGAAUCGCUUGAACCUAGGAGGCAGAGGUUGCAGUGAGCCGAGAUUGCACCACUGCACUCCUGCCUGGGUGACAGAGCGAGAUUCCGUCUCAA